CAAGUACUCCCUCCGUCCGAAAAUACUUGUUGAAGGAAUAGAUGUAUUUAGAUGUAUUUUAGUUCUAGAUACAUUCAUUUUCAUCCAUUUUGCGACAAGUAAUUUUGAACGGAGGAAGUACUAC
rnacentral:pre_miRNA from 1 species